AUAUCAUGGUCAUAUCACCAGUUCCCAUACGAUCCCUGAAGUUAAGCAAUGUCAUGCCUGAUCAGUACCUAGAUGGGUAACUACUAAGGAAU